AGCUAGUUGGUGGGGUAAAAGCUCACCAAGGCGACGAUCUGUAGCGGGUCUGAGAGGAUGAUCCGCCACACUGGAACUGAGACACGGUCCAGACUCCUACGGGAGGCAGCAGUGGGGAAUUUUGGACAAUGGGGGCAACCCUGAUCCAGCCAUGCCGCGUGAGUGAAGAAGGCCUUCGGGUUGUAAAGCUCUUUCGGCCGGGAAGAAAUCGUAUCAGCUAAUACCUGGUGCGGAUGACGGUACCGGCAUAAGAAGCACCGGCUAACUACGUGCCAGCAGCCGCGGUAAUACGUAGGGUGCGAGCGUUAAUCGGAAUUACUGGGCGUAAAGCGUGCGCAGGCGGUUUUGUAAGACAGGCGUGAAAUCCCCGGGCUCAACCUGGGAACUGCGUUUGUGACUGCAAGGCUAGAGUACGGCAGAGGGGGGUGGAAUUCCACGUGUAGCAGUGAAAUGCGUAGAGAUGUGGAGGAACACCAAUGGCGAAGGCAGCCCCCUGGGUCGAUACUGACGCUCAUGCACGAAAGCGUGGGUAGCAAACAGGAUUAGAUACCCUGGUAGUCCACGCCCUAAACGGUGUCAACUAGGUGUUGGGAGGGUAAAACCUUUUAGUACCGGAGCUAACGCGUGAAGUUGACCGCCUGGGGAGUACGGCCGCAAGGUUAAAACUCAAAGGAAUUGACGGGGACCCGCACAAGCGGUGGAUGAUGUGGAUUAAUUCGAUGCAACGCGAAAAACCUUACCUACCCUUGACAUGUCAGGAACUUUCCAGAGAUGGAUUGGUGCUCGAAAGAGAACCUGAACACAGGUGCUGCAUGGCUGUCGUCAGCUCGUGUCGUGAGAUGUUGGGUUAAGUCCCGCAACGAGCGCAACCCUUGUCGUUAAUUGCCAUCAUUUAGUUGGGCACUUUAACGAGACUGCCGGUGACAAACCGGAGGAAGGUGGGGAUGACGUCAAGUCCUCAUGGCCCUUAUGGGUAGGGCUUCACACGUCAUACAAUGGUCGGUACAAAGGGUCGCCAAGCCGCGAGGUGGAGCUAAUCCCAGAAAGCCGAUCGUAGUCCGGAUUGCAGGCUGCAACUCGCCUGCAUGAAGUCGGAAUCGCUAGUAAUCGUGGAUCAGCAUGUCACGGUGAAUACGUUCCCGGGUCUUGUACACACCGCCCGUCACACCAUGGGAGCGGGUUCCGCCAGAAGUAGGUAGCCUGACCGCAAGGAGGGCGCUUACCACGGCGGGGUUCGUGACUGGGGUGAAGUCGUAACAAGGUAGCCGUAGGGGAACCUGCGGCUG
rnacentral:rRNA from 1 species